rnacentral:rRNA from 1 species
GACGAACGCUGGUGGCGUGCCUAAUACAUGCAAGUCGAGCGAAUGGAUUAAGAGCUUGCUCUUAUGAAGUUAGCGGCGGACGGGUGAGUAACACGUGGGUAACCUGCCCAUAAGACUGGGAUAACUCCGGGAAACCGGGGCUAAUACCGGAUAACAUUUUGAACCGCAUGGUUCGAAAUUGAAAGGCGGCUUCGGCUGUCACUUAUGGAUGGACCCGCGUCGCAUUAGCUAGUUGGUGAGGUAACGGCUCACCAAGGCAACGAUGCGUAGCCGACCGGAGAGGGUGAUCGGCCACACGGGGACUGAGACACGGCCCAGACUCCUACGGGAGGCAGCAGUAGGGAAUCUUCCGCAAUGGACGAAAGUCUGACGGAGCAACGCCGCGUGAGUGAUGAAGGCUUUCGGGUCGUAAAACUCUGUUGUUAGGGAAGAACAAGUGCUAGUUGAAUAAGCUGGCACCUUGACGGUACCUAACCAGAAAGCCACGGCUAACUACGUGCCAGCCGCCGCCGUAA